rnacentral:misc_RNA from 1 species
GAUGAAGAACGUAGCGAAAUGCGAUAAGUAAUGCGAAUUGCAGAUCUCCGUGAGUCAUCGAAUCUUUGAACGCACAUUGCGCCCGCCAGUAUUCUGGCGGGCAUGCCUGUUCGAGCGUCAUUUCAACCAUCAAGCCCCCGGCUUGUGUUGGGGACCUGCGGCUGCCGCAGGCCCUGAAAAGCAGUGGCGGGCUCGCUGUCACACCGAGCGUAGUAGCAUACAUCUCGCUCUGGGCGUGCUGCGGGUUCCGGCCGUUAAACCACCUUCAUAACCCAAGGUUGACCUCGGAUCAGGUAGGAAGACCCGCUGAACUUAAGCAUAUCAAUAAGCGGAGGA